GGAUGUGAGGGCUGUCUGACUGUGCCAUCUAUCACCCCAUUGAUCCCCAGGGUUGGUUCGGCUGAUAUGGCUGGCUAGGCAGGUGUCACCUUCCUCCCUCACCUCUCCAUGUGCAUCCCUCCCGAAGCUGAGCACUCGGUCAAAGAGAACUAUCACCCCCCAAUAGAGGAGGAACAGUCUUCGGUCAAAGGUGUACAAGUAGCUGUGCUCACCUGCUAGACCCUCCAAACAAGCUCUGAAACAAAUGGACAUUUGCUUUUUUCUCUCAUAACAAGAUUGGAGGAAUGCAGUCCCAGACUGGUCCAAAUGUGCAAAGAUUCCAAAGUCAGGGAUCCACUUGACCUU
rnacentral:snRNA from 1 species